AUUAAGUAGUAAACGUGACCUAAAUCACUUAAAAAACACAGUCAAAUAUACUUGCGAUACUUGUGGAUUACCACUGAUCACAAGAUGCUCAGUCAGAAAUGUUGUCAUAAACCACAAGUUUUCCUCAAACUCGGUGGCAGGAUCGAAUUCACUCGAACGCACCCAACUCAAAUGUGGCUUGAGCUGCAUGCCAGUGAUGUGAACUGAAGCAAGUACAAGAGCUGUGCCUUUCGACUUCAAAAGCUAAAGGUAAGUUAACAUAAUUUAACCUCUGCCUACUUUGGUAAUUCGUCAGCAAUAUUGAAAACAAAAAUGUUUGUAAAAGACCAAGACUUCUGGUUGAAGUUAUUAACUUGUUAGCAAACAAAGCUAGCACACUUGACGUCAGCUAAGACAGCUAACCUAGCACAAUAAUUCAAUUGAAGCCAUGUCGACUGAGCUAACGUCUCUCAUAUGUUUUAAACUAGUGCCAGGUAAUACUAUGUCAGAAAGUGUCCCUAGUAGUCUUGUCUGUAAAAAGUAAGCAAGUUCAGAGGAUUCAUUUAGUGUGAAUGUUGGUGAUAUAAUAGCUAGUAGCUGCAGUUAGCUCUUAGCUAACUAGCUACUCUAUAGGUUAAGGAUCCCCCACCCUGAGUGAAGCUUCGACUUGAAGUUGAAGAUUUUUUUCUUUCUGAAAGAGUAACAACCCUUUUCUUUAAAUUACAGAUGGAGCAAUUGGACAAGACAACACAGUCGCUUCUGGAAGCUGCACAGGCCAUUGCCUUGUUGGAGGCGCUCCCAAAAAUGUUCCCUUACCCAACCGCCCCUCCAAGAAAAGUCGGCAAGUGAGGCACUGUACCAUGUUCUUGAGCCAUCUGAGGACGCCAAUGUCUUCUUGCGUAACUGAUGACCUUGCCAAGGGACAUGCUUCUGGAAUCCCUCAUGAUACUGAUGGGAUGCUACUAUGUGUUCCAGUUAACAUAUUCCAAGUGUAUUGCUAGGCUAUUGUCCAUAAUACAAACAGAUUUUAUUCACGAGAGUGACAAGACGACAACAUAUAAAAAGGUGCUUGCUGACUGUCAAGCAUUCAUCCAAACCUAGUCUGUCUCUCCCUCUCUCUUUGUCAACCUCCUACUGUAUGUCACUCUUCUG